UAUAAAGGUGGCCAAAAGUAGAUUUAGAGUUUUUCAAAUGGAAAAAGACAAGCAGGUUAUGCUUAUUAUAAUAGCUUUAUUCAUGUUUGUUUGUAUUCAUUUAUAUAUAUACUAGGGUGCCCAACCCUCAGUUGCGGCCAGAAUAUUAGUAAAAUCUGUAAAUGUACAAAAGAGAAAUUAUUACUUAUUAGAGUCAAAAUCAUGAAAUUCUAUAAAUAUGUAAAAGAAAAAUUUAUUUUUAUUUAACAGUAAAAAAACGUUAAACUGAGGUCCACUAUGCUCAAUGAGUAUUCAUAAGAGAGUAAAUAAACAAUCCAUUAGUUUUGACUGACAUUCUUAUAGAUAAAAAAACAUUUUUUUAAAAAUGACUCACCCAUGAAAACUAAAGUGGUAUGCAAUGGGUCAUCGUAACUCGACCUUCUUGAUAUUUUUUAGUUUAUAAUUUAAAAACAAUAAGAAUCAGAAAAUCUAACAACAUCACAUUAAAGAUCGAUAAAUUCUGAAAAGAAUUAUACCAAAUAUAUAUAUAUAUGUAGGUUUUUAAAUAAGCCUGAUUUAAAGUGUGACAUAAAAACGUCACAUAAAAUCGUCACAUAAAAUCUUAGGAUUUUAUAUAUAUAUAUAUAUAUAUAUAUAUAUAUAUAACCUGCUAUAUCUUAACUACAGGGUCACAAGGGGUCUGCUGGAGCCAAUCCCAGCCAACACAGGGUGCAAGGCAGGAAACAAACCCCGGGCAGGGUGCCAGCCCACCGCAGAACACACACACACACACACCAAACACACAUUACGGACAAUUUAGAAUCGCCAAUGCACCUCACCUGCAUGUCUUUGGACUGUGAGAGGAAACCGGAGCGCCCGUAAGAAACCCACGCUGACACGGGGAGAACAUGCAAACUCCACGCAGGGAGGACCCGGGAAGCAAAUGUGUGUGUGUGUAUAUAUAUAAAUAUAUAUUUACAUAUAUAUAAUAUAUAUACUAAGUGAAAUACCCAGCAUUGCCCAAGAGAAAAAUAAAGUUUUUUUUUUAUUAUUUUUUGAGAAAAAUAUAAUUAAAAAAAAAACGCAACUUUAAAAAUAAAAAUAAAUUAACAAACAAUGAAGACUCACUAAUGUGCUUGUCUUGCGGUCUUGUAUGUGUGUUAUCAUCCAGUUGACGCUCGGAACCAGGUGGGUGGGCUCAGGUGGCCGCAAGUGACGUCAGACGUCAUCACAUCUGUAGACAGAAUAAGAGGAGAGGCAUUAGCAGGCAGCACCAACCCUUGACUUAGGGUGAAAUUGCACUGAAUUUGUCUCCCAGGCACGUGUGUGUGUGCAGCAAUGUAUACAAACAUGCGUGUUUCUCGUCUGAUCUUCCAAAACUAUGAUUCCGGCUGAGGGCCACAACACACACACAUGCACACACACAUUUACACAGUAUAUACUUACUCCAUAUUGUCAACAGAAGUAGAUGGGCAGCAGUUCAUGCAUUGGCAUGUACCACCCUGGUAAGCCCCAUUUAAUGCCAGUCAAAGAGAAAGUAAAUUUCUAUAAAGUAACAGCCACAGCGUUGUAUUUACAUGGGAGUGCUGGAGCACAGGAGCUCUGGGUCUCUCCCUAAAUGAACGCUCACUAGACCACUAGAGUGGACCAAAUGUAUAGCGCUCACCUUCAGGGCGCCUGGUCAGGUUUCUUCUGGUGUUUGCCCCUCAGAUUUGUAGUUAGCGACUGUGUCCCCUCUCGUCCCAGUUGGUAGUACAUUACUUUACCAUGCUACAGCCUUGAAAGUGCCCCCCAAGCACACGCUGUUUGACAAUAUGCACACCCACAUAUAUAUUUAUACAGUAUGUAGGGUAUUGAAAGGGAAGGUCAGCUAACUGAGCUUCAUCUUUUUCAUUUCAACCAAACCUUUUCUGUUCCUGCUUUCCAUCGAUGGCCAUCACUUGAUAGCCAUUUCUCCAAAUCAGGGGCUUCGCCUUAUUUGCACUUUACAGCCUCUCACUUGAUCUCGUGUCACCCAAGUGUGAGUGCCAUCAGCUCCUAGGAGCUCCAAUGGCAUGGGCCACAGUAUGGCGUUGCAGCCAUUUGGCAGCGUUGGCACCGGGUGCACACAAACAAUGAAUGUAAUUUAAACUAAAGGGCAGACAAAUGCAUGCACUUUAUAGACCUCGAAUGAAGAAGAGGAUUUGGAGAAAGGGUCCUGGGCUUGCAGGCAGGACACAAUUGCUAUCAAUGCUGCUUCCACCUUCCCGUGUCUACUUUGGCAUGUUUUUUUUUUGUUUUUUUUUUGAGAGAUACACACUUGUAACACUUGUCACCCCCAAAAGUUAUUUUUGAUCAAAACCCUUAUGGAAAUGGCUGAGCCGUGUCCUCCAAACUACUGCAGAUGCCAGAUUGUGCCAGUGUAUUGGCCAUUCGUAACUUCUUUAACAAUAAUGAUGGCUGCUUUUGGAGGGACUCUGUCUUGUCACAUAUGCAAUGAAAUUCUUACACGCAUGUCUACCCAGCAUGCAACACGUCACUGCUCUCCACAGCCAAGGGCAUUCUGCUAAAAUACAGAACUCCAUUAAUUGACUAGAAAACACAAUUCCAGUUCCCUGAUGUACUCCUUAUGCCGCUAAUUUACUGGAAUUCUAUUACUCCUCCAUCCAUUUACUGGACUCGCUUAAUGUGAAUGUGGGGUCAUAGUGAGCUAAAGCAUCAGGUUCAAAACAAGAACCAAUCCACCACUAAGCACAAUGGACAAGUUUCACUCCUGAUCGGUGGGCUGCAGUUCACUGCUAGGUACACUGGGUAAGUUUUGCCCCUGAUUAAUUCAGGAGGUGUAGUUCACUACUAGGCACCCUGGUCAAACUUCAGUUUGAUUGACACAGAUUUGGGGCACUAAUUCAAUGCUAGGCACACUGGGUAAGUUUUAGCCCAGAUCGAUUGGUGGGUACCAGUCCUCUGCUAAGCACACUAGUCAAGUUUCACCCAGAUAGACUGGGCAGUGCCAGUCCAUCACUAGGCACACUGGACAAGUUUCACUCCAGAUUGAUUGUUGGGCAGUGCCAGUCCACCACUAGACACACUAGACAAGUUUCACUCCAGAUUGAUUGUUGGGCAGUGCCAGUCUACCUCUAGGCACAUUGGGCAAGUUUCACCCCUAAUCAAUUGGGGGAUGCCAGUCCAUCACUAGGCAUGUUUAACCCUUGGUUGACUGGGAGGGUGCCAGUCCACCACUAGGUAAGUUUCAUUCCUGGUCAAUUAGGGGGUGCCAUUCCUGCACUAGGCAUACUGGGAAGGCUUCAACCCAAUUGUCAUGGGGAGGGAGGGUAGUAGUCCACCACUAGGCAUGCUGGCCAACUUUCACCGCAGACUGAUUGUUAGGCACCGGUCCAUCGUUAGGCACACAGGAUAAGUUUCACCCUAAUUGAUUUCAACAAUCUCCCUGUAGGCAUUCUGUACCAGUUUAACCUCUAAUUGACUGGGAGAGUACCAGUCCAUCAUUGAGCACACUGGGUAAGCUUUACUUCUGGUCAGUUAAGGGGUGCCAUUCUGUCGCUAGGCAAAUUGGGAAAGCUUCACCCCAAUUUUCUAGGUUGGGGGUACCAGUCCACAACUUGAGAUGCUGGGCAAUUUUCACACCAGACUGACUGGUGGGCACCAGUCCACUGGUAUGCACACAAGAUGUUGCCAGUCCACCGGUAGGCACGCUGGACACGUUUUCCCCUGAUCAAACUCCCCUGCAUGUCUGUUUCAAUCUGCACCUUGCCCAAUUUCAUGCGUUCAGCUCUGGUUGACUCCUUAUAGCUCCUUGCUCUGUGGAUUAGCAUAUUGUGAUUUCUAAUUUGCAUAUUGCCACUCCCCUUUUUCGGUUCCUGCCUUGUAAGCAGGCGACUGUUAUUUUUUAGUCAUUUUCAAUAAACGGACGCCUCUCGUAAGCACAUCUGGUGACUUUGCAGUGACACUGCUCCUCACUGUGUUUCUCAGAGCAUUAGCUUCUAAAGGCCAUGUCACAUUUGGUGGCUUUUCCAGAGAUUUUUCAGUCGUAUUCAGUCGGUGACAAGCUCCUAUAAAGUCAAUGGUGUGAUGUGACAUACCCAGCGACCGACUCCAACUGGUCCGCCACUCAAUCUGACAGAAUCAAGCUGGUUAAGUUAACAUCCUCUGGUGAUAAGAUCAGCAAUGGCAGUCGGCAGAUCUGACAUACCCCAUGACUAGAAUCCGUGUGAUGUCACAUCGGCUUAAGGUUGUGUUAGCCACCAGCAGCCCAGUAUGUGGCAUGUUCAGGGUUGAGUGACCUUCAGCUUGAGUCACAUGUGUUUCACAAUUGAAGAUUAAACCCUGCAGUGUCUGAGCCAAGGUCCCUGUCUCCUAUAUCUCUACCAUGGAGCUUUAAAGACCCUAAACUGGUUAGGCUUAUCCAGAGCAGCCCACCAUGAGCUCCUCAGUGGGAGCUUGAAUGUGAUGCUACUCUUUCAUUCAUUCUGCUUACCCUGUGGUUGUACAGGGGCCAAAGCUUAGCACAGAAGAAUUGGAGGAAAAGACAAAAGGCAAUCCUGGACAAGACCCCAGUCCUUUGCAGACCACCCAUUUAGAGUAGCCCCUUAACCUAACAUUAGAACAGUUUGGACGAGACUCGAUCAUUCAGCCUAACACAGCUUGUCAAUCCUGCUCAACUAAUGUCGAGCCCCUAAAGUUGGCCAGGAUUUGAAACUGGGACCCCCAGAACCACUGUGCACCCUUUAUGGUCAGCAAAGCUAACAGAUUUCAAUUCUGCUACACUGUUCAUUUUCUACAGUGGUUGUUCCUGCCUUGCACCGUAUGCCUGCUGGGAUAACCUCUGUGCUCGGGAUAAGGUGAGUUUGGAAGAUGGCUGGGUGGAUGGACUUUGGAGUAGCACUCGGAUGCCACCUGUUUUUGUCUGCCUCCUGCAGUUGACCAGUUUGAUUUAAACACACAUUUGUGGAGUGGCCAUACUUAAUAAUAAAAAUACAUUUUAUUUAUAUAGCGCCUUUCCCAUGCUCAAGGCGCUUCAUUUUUAAUCUUCUUUAGUAUUGCUGUGUCUCUGUGGUGAGUGGGAGCCCCCUAGGGGUGGGCAGAGGAAGUUCUCGUCUUGAACAUUUCAGUUGCUUUUCCCAGUCUGCCAGAGGUUGUCAGGUUUUUGACUCCUCCUUUUUUGUUUUGCUUGUCAUUAUUAGUGGUGGGGUUAAUUUGUGAGGGGGGGGGGGGGGGGUCAUACACAGAGACACAUCUGCUAUCCAUGGCCAGUCCAGAUAAAUGUAAAUUCCACCCAACCAGAAGGGGGUGCAGUUCUGCAGAUGAAACCCUAAGGCUGAUUGUCCCAUUUGAAAGUAUUUCAAAUUCGUCGUGCUGAUUUUCCAUGAGUAAAGUGAUAGCGGUAACCGGCAGAUGCUUAUGCCCAAUUACGGAAUAUUCACAGGAACUUCAUCCAACCAUCUUCCAAAUCUAAUGAUCUGGGGCGGGAUCACGGAGAAGAUACAGCCAAUCCCAGCAAGCAUCAGGAGCAAGGCAGGAACAGUCUGUGGUUGGGGGGGCACCAGUCCAUCACAUGGUGAAUACACACACACACACACACACACACUGGGGCCAAAGAAGCACCGCCAGUCCGCCUAAGCUGCAUGUCUUUGGACUGUGGGAGGAAGCCGGAGCACCGAGAGAACAUGCAGUGCUUAAAUUAAAGAAAUGUCUGAGGUUUGUGUCUGAAGCAGCGUGCAGCUGCGCACUCGGGUGGGCUUCUAUGACUAUUUAAAGGGCCUUUGGGGUGGACUGAGCUGCUGUGACGGACCAAUCAGAGCACCGAACUGCCACCCCCAAUUAACUGAUUGACCGCUUUGCAGACGGGUUACUCAGUGCUCUUUAGUCCCCCAUCAAUUUACUGUAAGUCCAGGAUAUCAGCGCAGCAUCCCACUAGUGUCUCACUCCAGCCCACCGGGGUAACGUCAUUCCAGACGGGCUUCUUCAGCCUGCUACUCACUUGGUGAUUUCCGACUGGAGGAGCUGCCCAGUCAGGGUCCGGAGGAGGUGGUCCUGUGCGAAAGGUGCUAUAUAAUAAAAAGUAUAUUGGAAAUCAUGAACAGGGCCAGUUACCUGAAGGCAGUGCAAGGCUGCGCCCUGCUUGGAAGGGCGUCCGCCAUACUGUACGUAACGUAGAAGAUCGAGCAAAUUUUGCAGAUCUUUAAGCAGAAUACUGACAUGUGGCCAAGCAGGGGGCUUAUAUGGUGACCUUUGUUCACCGUGCACAGUUUUGAAAAGUUAAAAAGUGAGUGCAGAUUAAGAUUUUUGUGGUACCACCCAUCCAUUUGUCCAGGUGCCCACCUCAGUGCCUCACAUCACUCCUCGCUCACAUUUAUGUGCUCGUUGUCCUUUUUGGUCAUAUCUAUCUGAGGCAGACACGUUCCCAGAGGUUGGAUGCCCUCUUAUUAGGAUGUCAGGGUUUGCCCCCCCCCCAAAAAAAAACACACACAACACCCCCCCCCCUUAUUUUGAGUUUCUUUUUCUAUGCAAAGUUUUGUGCUCUUGAUAUGACCGAAUGAGGAGCACACAGAGAAUGCCCAAAGUUAAGUUAUGUGGGCCCUGCGGACGCCCUGAGCGCAGACGUGUGGUGGUUGAGCCCCUGCUGGGGGGUCUCGUGUCCUCUUAUAUAACCAUUAGAGCCUUGGAAACAUCUUCAAUGCCAAUGAAUCGUGCGAUCCUGCAUUUAUUUGCUCUUGCUUAGCCGCUCAUUACUUCUAAUAUGAAAGCCGGUCAGCGUUGUCCGAGGGAGACGUGCGCUCAGCCGCCACAGCACAGUUCCGACUCGAACGGGCGACUCGAUCCAACUUGACCCUCACACGGUUACCUCAGGAAACAGCGUUGCCCACAUUCUCCCCCCAAUGCCCCCGCAAAGCCAUGUCAGACCACAUUGGUUUAUGUGUGUUGGUACCAGCCUUGUGCCCGUUAGGUUAGGGUUGACGAGCCAAAUGUAGUGUGGGGUCACCGCUGCCGCAGGCUCACCCAACAAACUACCUGCCACUUGGACUGCGGCCGGGCGACAACUCGACAAGAACGCUCCCGACAACGGUGUCCUCCCUGCGUCCAGGAAUUAUUCAACUGAUGUAUUUAUGUGCAUUAAAUCCUUAUGUAUGUUUUUAUAGAGUUGUUUUGAUUUCGAUAUAUUGAAUAUGAAAGGAAAUAUAUAUAAAUAUAUAUAUAUAUAAAACUCUUUCUAUUAAAUAUACUGUAUUUACAUACUGUGUAUAUCUACAGUAUAUAUAGAGAGACAGACACGUUACAAUUUUGCGCUGUGUGCAGGUCUAGGGUUACUCAUAAUCAAGCCUACUAGAGACUAAACUAUUAGAGCUACCAAAAUGAUGUACAGUAGGACAUGAAAUUGAAAUAAAGCAUUGGAGCAGAGAUUUUUUUCUGA